UACAGAGGGGGCGAGCGUUGUUCGGAAUUACUGGGCGUAAAGGGCGCGUAGGCGGCCAACUAAGUCAGACGUGAAAUCCCUCGGCUCAACCGGGGAACUGCGUCUGAUACUGGAUGGCUUGAAUUCGGGAGAGGGAUGCGGAAUUCCAGGUGUAGCGGUGAAAUGCGUAGAUAUCUGGAGGAACACCGGUGGCGAAGGCGGCAUCCUGGACCGAGAUUGACGCUGAUGCGCGAAAGCGUGGGGAGCAAACAGG
rnacentral:rRNA from 1 species